UGGAAAGAUCCAGAGAUGCUGACAUAUGAGAAGAAGCUUGUUCUGACAAUUUCCAGGUUAGUUUGGUGGAUGAAUUUCAUGAAUUCUGGAGUGAGGAGAGCCUUGGAUGAUUUAUUUCCUCCUAUAUUCCUGAGAUACGACCCUGGAUGGAUGCCCAAGGUGUAACAUACAAGAACUAUCAAAGACUUCAGUAUCAGGUAAUUAAAUCCUUAACAGAGGUUGGCAACCAUUUUGAGGUUUAUAGAUAAAGGAGGGCAGGGGAAAUUGCAGAAAGUUUAGCAGAGAACCACAAUAGCUGUGGCAUAUUUCAUUAGGAGAUUACAGAGCCAAUGCCAUAAUUAUUAUCAGUAUACGAAUAUUGCUUAUAUGAAAGAGAGUGAUAAAUUUUUCUCCUACCUCUAGUGAACGUCAGAGAAGACGAAAUGAGUCUUAAGCAUAGUGUGAAGGAUUUAGGCUAGAUAAUAAGAAAAGUUAUUAACUACCUUAGUGGGUUCGAGAGAGUCUAAGAAAUCUCCUUCUCUGAAAGUCUUUAAAAAUGAUAGAGAUUUUCCUAUCAAGGAAGGAUUAAGUGUGGGCCUGCCUAAUGUAGAAGAAUAAACAAAAUAGCCUGCCAGAGUCUCAGCCAGCACUCAGGUUCUAUGAUUCUAUAUAUAUUAGAGAGCACAUAAAAUGCAUGUAAAAUUGACUUUUAUUUUACAUUUUCCUUUGAGAAACCAAGAAAAAUAGAUAGUGAUAUUUUUAAGGCUCACGUUUAAUUUCCAGACAGUUGCGUAAGAACAUGGGUGCUAUGGGGUUGGAUGGUAACAUCAGAGGGGAAGCACUGGGCUGUAAUGAAGUUGACUUUCAUUAUUUCCCCAAAUUACAUUCUCGUUGCUUUUCCCUGAAACUUUAAAAUAGGUCCAUUUAGUUCAGUAAAUGUCUUAACUGGGAGUUUAAGUCCCAUUUGUAUUUCAAGGGAUUAUACCAAAUCUACCUGGUUUGCAACGCCGCAAGUAACUUCCGGCCUUUCCUUCUUCAAGCCUGUUCUGUUGAUUAUUCUUAAUUGUUAACAGCAUUUCAUUCAAAUCUCUUUGUAUUUUCUCCUGUGCUUUUCCUCUCGUGCACAUUCAUGUGAAUGGUGCAUUCCCUGUAAAUACAGUCCAUGGAGAACAUCCCUUUCUAUGCAAAUUGGCAGCUCAGGGAAUAGUUGUGUGCUUACAAUGUCAUUGAAAGUUGUACAAAUCAAUUGGCAAAAAUUAUUUUCUGUGAUUAUCUUGUUUUUGCAGUUACAUUUUUAAUUUUGACAGUUUAAGUGUGUUUAGGGGUCACGAUAGUUAAAGGCCAAGCAGAAUGUGGGGUAGGUCACUGCUCAGAUUCCUACUGCUUGGCUAAUGAGGUUUUCUUUCGACUUUUGGUGUCAUUUAAUCUCAUUAACAUUGAAGUGAGAUACUUUAGAACAAAACAAAUGAACAAAUAUUUAUUGGGUGCCUGUGAUGUGCAAGGUAUACGUAUGGGGCAGUGAGGCAUAAAAAUUAAGAGCCCUUGCUUUCAAGAUUUUCACCAUCCAAUUUAAUCAAAAUUAUAUAGUAAUAAAAUAAGGAUAUAGAUCACAUAGAAAAAGUACCAUAAAGUGGGACAUGAUGAAUUGACAGUAAACUAUACAGGUUAUAAGGACUCGAUUUUGGAGAGAGAACUGCAGGCUGCAGUAGGAGCCUUUCAUUCAUGACAUCUGAGUUGGCCUCAAAGGUGUUGGCUAAACCGAAAAUGGGCCUUGUGGGAUAGUAAAAUAAUGUGUGUAAAUACUGAAUAGGAGGAAGCAAAAGGUAUAUUUAGGAACCAAUAAAUACAAUUUGGUUGAAAAGGAGACUUUGAGCAGGAGAAUAGUGGAAAAAGUUUGGAGAGCAGUUCUCAGUUAAUGCUAAGUGCAUUCACUCUUCCGUUGCUGUGGAACAAAGUACCACACAUUUAACAGCUGAAAACAAUAUUCAUUUAUCAUCUCAUAGUUCUGUAGACCAAAAGUCUGGGUAGACACAGCUGGGUCCCCUGGUUAGGGUCUCAAAAGACCAAAAUCAAGGGGUUUGGGAUUAAGCUGGAGGUCCUGGAAACAUUUCCCGGCUAAGCUCAUCCAGAUUGUUGUCAGAAUUCAGAUCCUUUGGUUGUAAGAGUGAAGUCUUUAUUUUCUUGUUUGCUGUUAGCCAAGGGACACUCUCAGCUCUCAGUGGACACACUCAAGUCCUUAUCGCAUGGUUCUCCUGUCUCCGCAACAGAGGACUCCAUUCAUGUUGAAUCCAUGUAACUCUUUGAAUCUCUGCCUUCCUCUUCCACCACCAGCUGGUAAAAACUCUCUGCCUGUAAAGGUCUCAUAUGAUUAGCUGGGGCUCUCUCAGAUAAUCUUUCUUUUGAUUAAUUCAAGGCCAGCUGAUUAGUGACCUUAAUUACAUUUACAAAAUCUCUUUGGCCAUGCAAUACAACAUAAUCAUGGGCAAAACACACAGAGACAAAGAUCAUGGGAGUCAUCUGAGUACCCUGCCUACCACACCAAGCCAAUCGUGUGAUGCCACCACAUCCCCACGUGUUGCCUAAGAGCUCAAACCUCAGGACAUGUGUAUAGGAUACAGUAAGUAGUUUAAACAGGGGCAGAAAUGUGGCAGGAUUUGGCAUUUUUAUCAACUCUCUUUUACCUUUAAGGGAAGUUCUUACAUAUUCUUCCAUUCAACUUUCAAGGUUAUAAGCAUGUGAAAGGCUUUCUUAUGCCUCUAAAGACUUUGGCAGUGUUACUAACUUGACCUAGAUGGGAUGACAAACUUGAAAGAGUAAGAAAAAUUCCCCUGAGGGUGUGUAUACUAUUCAUGAAUCUUUUUUUCUUUCCCUGGCCCAAGUAUCCUUCUAUUUACUACAUUUUUUAAAGAGUCAUGUCAUUCCACAAAAAGUACAAAAUCCUAUUUCAAGGCAUAGCCUGUAGUAGAGUUGGUGUUGGAAUUUAGUUUAGAAAAAAUAACUCUAAAUGUCUAUAACUAAAAUUUACCAUGCUAAUGGUAUUCUCCAGUCCAACAUGCUUGCAACAUGUUGAAUCACUCAGGGAAGAAAUAGUGUUUAUUUCUAUCUCUCUCAGUGAGCCAUUGCAUCCAAUCUGAAAUUUGACAGUCAUCUGAGUGGGCAGCAGAAAAAGGGAAGGCUGAGUGUAUAAUGUAGAAAAUAGUGUCUUGUACAGUAUCAUUGGAAUGAGUUGCUGAUGCAGUGUAGCCGUUACAUGCAAACAGGAUAAAUACUGCCAGUCAGCAGAUUCCUAGCACCCCUACUAGCUUUGGGCAGAGCACGGAGCAAGACGUUGCUGAGUGUUUGAAAAAUCUUCAAGUCUUCUUAGACUAUGAAAGAAGACUGUCCCUUCAUUGGAUGCUUAACUUCAUUUAGGAAGAGUGUUAAGACCUUUCUCAUAAUCUGUGACUUCCAUGCUAACGGAUGAAUACAAAUAUUGUUAUCACCUUCCAUUGACAGAGGACUACAUUGUUACAAUGGAGAAAAGUGUUAAUCCUUUUGUAAUUAAUGCCGUAUUGGGGUCAGCACAUGUCAAGGAUGUCGUCGGAUUUUGGUAAAUUAACUUUGAAGUCCUUUUCUUAAUUCUCAUUUUUCUUUUAUCUUAAAAAGUAACCAUUGCAUAUAACUUUGUCCUUUUUCUUUUACCAAUGAUAUAAGACUUAGCUUUUAUGUUGACAUGAAACCAAACCAGACGAAAGGUGAAUAGGAAGGACACAUGGCUCUUACUAUCCUACUCCCUUAACUAAACACAAAGAAAAAUUCAGCAUAGAGAAAUUACUAUGACCUUGUAGUAAAGAAUAAGCAUUGGUUUAAUAAUUUCUAGGUCUCAUACCUGGAAAGUAACCAGUGCUUAUUAAAUGGUAUCUAUUCUGAUUACUAUUAACAUCAUUUUCACAUACAUAUAUAAGAAGGUGACCAGGCAUUUCACAUACUGGAGUAGAAGUGCAAACAGUAACUACGUCUUAAGUUCAGCAGGGUUAGAGUGAUGGGAUACAGUGUUCCUGAAGGUGGUGGGCUUCAGUCAGUGCUUUCCUGAGUGGCUUCUUUAAAAAAAA